CGCUGGCGGCAGGCCUAACACAUGCAAGUCGAGCGGUAACACACAAGGGAGCUUGCUCCUNAGGUGACGAGCGGCGGACGGGUGAGUAAUGCCUAGGGAUCUGCCCAGUCGAGGGGGAUAACAGUUGGAAACGACUGCUAAUACCGCAUACGCCUACGGGGGAAAGGAGGGGACCUUCGGGCCUUCCGCGAUUGGAUGAACCUAGGUGGGAUUAGCUAGUUGGUGAGGUAAUGGCUCACCAAGGCGACGAUCCCUAGCUGUUCUGAGAGGAUGAUUAGCCACACUGGGACUGAGACACGGCCCNGNCUCCUACGGGAGGCAGCAGUGGGGAAUAUUGCACAAUGGGGGAAACCCCUAUGCAGCCAUGCCGCGUGUGUGAAGAAGGCCUUCGGGUUGUAAAGCACUUUCAGGUAGGAGGAAAGGUNAUAGUUUAAUNAACUAUUACUNUGACGUUACCUACAGAAGAAGGACCGGCUAACUCCGUGCCAGCAGCCGCGGUAAUACGGAGNGUCCNHGCGUUAAUCGGAAUUACUGGGCGUAAAGCGUGCGCAGGCNNUUUGUUAAGCCAGAUGUGAAAUCCCCGGGCUCAACCUGGGNAUUGCAUUUGGAACUGGCGAACUAGAGUCUUGUAGAGGGGGGUAGAAUUCCAGGUGUAGCGGUGAAAUGCGUAGAUAUCUGGAGGAAUACCNGUGGCGAAGGCGGCCCCCUGGACAAAGACUNACGCUCAUGCACNNHAGCGUGGGGAGCAAACAGGAUUAGAUACCCUNGUAGUCCACGCCGUAAACGAUGUCUACUCGGAGUUUGGUGACUUAGUCACUGGGCUCCNAACUGAACGCAUUAAGUAGACCUGCCUGGGAGUACGGCCGCAAGGUUAAAACUCHAAUNAAUUGACGGGGGCHGCACAAGCGGUGGAGCAUGUGGUUUNAUUCNNNNNAACGCGAAGAACCUUACCUACUCUUGACAUCCACAGAAGAGACCAGAGAUGGACUUGUGCUUCGGGAACUGUGAGACAGGUGCUGCAUGGCNGUCGUCNGCNCGUGUUGUGAAAUGUUGGGUUAAGUCCCNCAACGAGCGCAACCCCUAUCCUUAUUUGCCAGCACUAAGUGGGWACUCUAGGGAGACUGCCGGUGAUNAACCGGAGGAAGGUGGGGACGACGUCAAGUCAUCAUGNAAUUACGAGUAGGGCUACACACGUGCUACAAUGGCGUAUACAGAGGGUUGCWAAGCCGCGAGGUGGAGCUAAUCUCACAAAGUACGUCGUAGUCCGGAUCGGAGUCUGCNACUCGACUCCGUGAAGUCGGAAUCGCUAGUAAUCGUGGAUCNGAAUGCCACGGUGAAUACGUUCCCNGGHNUUGUACACACCGNNNGUCNCNCCAUGGGAGUGGGCUGCAAAAGNNGUGGGUAGUUUAGACNUCGGGAGAACAGC
rnacentral:rRNA from 1 species